CUGUUAUUGGUAAUGGUGAGAGGUUAGCAUGUUUUGUUGUAGUCUCUGUUAUUGGUAAUGGUGAGAGGUUAGCAUGUUUUGUUGUAGUCUCUGUUAUUGGUAAUGGUGAGAGGUUAGCAUGUUUUGUUGUAGCCUCUGUUAUUGGUAAUGGUGAGAGGUUAGCAUGUUUUGUUGUAGUCUCUGUUAUUGGUAAUGGUGAGAGGUUAGUAUGUUUUGUUGUAGUCUCUGUUAUUGGUAAUGGUGAGAGGUUAGUAUGUUUUGUUGUAGUCUCUGUUAUUGGUAAUGGUGAGAGGUUAGUAUGUUUUGUUGUAGUCUCUGUUAUUGGUAAUGGUGAGAGGUUAGCAUGUUUUGUUGUAGCCUCUGUUAUUGGUAAUGGUGAGAGGUUAACAUGUUUUGUUGUAGUCUCUGUUACUGGUAAUGGUGAGAGGUUAGCAUGUUUUGUUGUAGUCUCUGUUAUUGGUAAUGGUGAGAGGUUAGUAUGUUUUGUUGUAGUCUCUGUUAUUGGUAAUGGUGAGAGGUUAGUAUGUUUUGUUGUAGUCUCUGUUAUUGGUAAUGGUGAGAGGUUAGCAUGUUUUGUUGUAUCCUCUGUUAUUGGUAAUGGUGAGAGGUUAGCAUGUUUUGUUGUAGUCUCUGUUAUUGGUAAUGGUGAGAGGUUAGCAUGUUUUGUUGUAGACUCUGUUAUUUAUUAUCUAGAUCUUUUUUAAUCAUGGCAUCCUCAAAUCAAAUCAAAUCAAAUUUUAUUUG
ensembl:lncRNA